rnacentral:rRNA from 1 species
CCCGCUGAACUUAAGCAUAUCAAUAAGCGGAGGAAAAGAAACUAACAAGGAUUCCCCUAGUAACUGCGAGUGAAGCGGGAAAAGCUCAAAUUUAAAAUCUGGCGGUCUCGCGGCCGUCCGAGUUGUAAUCUGGAGAAGCGUCUAUCCGCGUCGGACCGUGUACAAGUCUUCUGGAAGGGAGCGUCGUAGAGGGUGAGAAUCCCGUCUUUGACACGGACAACCGAUGCUUUUGUGAUGCGCUCUCGAAGAGUCGAGUUGUUUGGGAAUGCAGCUCAAAAUGGGUGGUAAAUUCCAUCUAAAGCUAAAUAUUGGCGAGAGACCAAUAGCGAACAAGUACCGUGAGGGAAAGAUGAAAAGCACUUUGGAAAGAGAGUGAAACAGUACGUGAAAUUGUUGAAAGGGAAACGCUUGAAGUCAGUCGCGUCGGCCGAGACUCAGCCUUGCCUCGGCUUGGUGUAUUUCUUGGCCCGACGGGUCAGCAUCAAUUUUGCCCCUUGGAUAAUGGCUAGGGAAAUGUGACACCUUUAUAGGUGUGUUAUAGUCUCUCGUCGCAUGCAAGGGUCAGGAUUGAGGAACUCAGCAUGCACCUUCGGGUGUCGGGGCUUUUGUCCACGAUACAUGCUUAGGAUGUUGGCGUAAUGGCUUUAAACGACCCGUCUUGAAACACGG